rnacentral:rRNA from 1 species
AUGGUGUUUGGACAGGUUGUGAUCGGGCCACCAGGCUCCGGCAAGACCACCUACUGCAACGGCAUGUCCCAGUUCCUCUCCCUCGUAGGAAGGAAAGUUGCGGUCAUCAAUCUCGACCCCGCGAAUGAUGCAUUGCCAUAUGAAUGUGCCAUCAACAUUGAGGACCUCAUAAAGCUUAGUGAUGUCAUGUCUGAGCAUUCGCUUGGUCCUAAUGGAGGGCUUGUGUAUUGCAUGGAUUACUUGGAGAUGAAUAUUGACUGGCUUGAAGAGAAACUGAAACCUCUUAUUGAAGAUCACUAUUUUUUAUUUGAUUUCCCGGGGCAAGUGGAACUUUUCUCCCUUCACACAAAUGCAAGGAAUAUCAUCAAUAAACUCAUCAAAAAGCUAGACUUGCGGCUGACUGCUGUGCACCUCGUUGAUGCUCAUUUAUGUUGUGAUCCUGGGAAGUAUGUGAGUGCUUUGCUUCUUUCACUAUCAACAAUGUUACACUUGGAGCUACCACACAUCAAUGUUUUAUCAAAGAUUGACCUUAUUGAGAACUAUGGAAAUUUAGCAUUCAACCUUGACUUCUACACUGAUGUCCAAGACCUUUCCUAUUUGCAAUACCAUCUUGAUCAAGAUCCUCGUUCUGCCAAGUACAGGAAACUUACGAAAGAGCUAUGUGAUGUGAUUGAUGAUUUUAGCUUAGUCAAUUUUUCGACUUUGGACAUCCAGGACAAGGAAAGUGUUGGUAAUCUUGUGAAGUUGAUUGACAAGAGCAAUGGCUAUAUAUUCUCUUCCAUAGACAGCAGCGCUGUUGAGUUCAGCAAAAUCGCAGCUGCGCCUCUUGACUGGGACUACUACAGAACAGCGGCAGUGCAGGAGAAGUACAUGAAAGAUGAUGAGAUCGUCCAGAAAACAAGCGGGAUGCAAUGA